CCCAGUAAACGGCGGCCGUAACUAUAACGGUCCUAAGGUAGCGAAAUUCCUUGUCAGGUAAGUUCUGACCCGCAUGAAAGGCGUAAUGAUUUGGGCACUGUCUCAACAGCCCGCCCGGCGAAAUUGUAGUACCGGUGAAGAUGCCGGUUACCCGCGACAAGACGGAAAGACCCCAUGGAGCUUUACUGUAGCCUAAUAUUGGGUUUCGAUGUUGCAUGCACAGGAUAGAUGGGACACUGGGAAGCAGGUGCUUUGGCGCUUGUGGAGUGGCCGUUGGGAUACCAUCCUUGCGAUAUUGGAAUUCUAACCUGCGGCUCUGAAUCGAGUCGGGGGACAUUGUUAGGUGGGCAGUUUGACUGGGGCGGUCGCCUCCUAAAGAGUAACGGAGGCGUUCAAAGGUUCGCUCAGCUUGAACGGAAAUCAAGCAAAAGAGUGCAAACGCAGAAGCGAGCCUAACUGCGAGACUGACGGGUCGAGCAGUAACGAAAGUUGGAGUUAGUGAUCCGGUGGUAUGUGAGUGGAAAUGCCAUCGCUCAACGGAUAAAAGUUACCCUGGGGAUAACAGGCUGAUCUCCCCCAAGAGUCCACAUCGACGGGGAGGUUUGGCACCUCGAUGUCGGCUCAUCGCAUCCUGGGGCUGUAUUCGGUCCCAAGGGUUUGGCUGUUCGCCAAUUAAAGCGGUACGCGAGCUGGGUUCAGAACGUCGUGAGACAGUUCGGUCCCUAUCUGUCGUGGGCGCAGGAUAUUUGAUGGGAGCUGUCCCUAGUACGAGAGGACCGGGACGGACGUACCUCUGGCGCACCAGUUGUUCCGCCAGGAGCAUAGCUGGGCAACUACGUACGGAUCGGAUAAACGCUGAAAGCAUCUAAGCGUGAAGCCGACCCAAAGAUAAGAUAUCCCAUUGUUUCAAACAAGUAAGACCCCUUGAAGACUACAAGGUUGAUAGGCACGAUGUGUAAGUGGAGUGAUCCAUUCAGCAAGCGUGUACUAAUAGGUCGAGGGCUUGACCAC
rnacentral:rRNA from 1 species